GUCGAGCGGUAACAGAAAGUAGCUUGCUACUUUGCUGACGAGCGGCGGACGGGUGAGUAAUGCUUGGGAACAUGCCUUGAGGUGGGGGACAACAGUUGGAAACGACUGCUAAUACCGCAUAAUGUCUACGGACCAAAGGGGGCUUCGGCUCUCGCCUUUAGAUUGGCCCAAGUGGGAUUAGCUAGUUGGUGAGGUAAUGGCUCACCAAGGCGACGAUCCCUAGCUGGUUUGAGAGGAUGAUCAGCCACACUGGGACUGAGACACGGCCCAGACUCCUACGGGAGGCAGCAGUGGGGAAUAUUGCACAAUGGGCGCAAGCCUGAUGCAGCCAUGCCGCGUGUGUGAAGAAGGCCUUCGGGUUGUAAAGCACUUUCAGUCAGGAGGAAAGGGUGGUGGUUAAUACCCGUCAUGUGUGACGUUACUGACAGAAGAAGCACCGGCUAACUCCGUGCCAGCAGCCGCGGUAAUACGGAGGGUGCGAGCGUUAAUCGGAAUUACUGGGCGUAAAGCGUACGCAGGCGGUUUGUUAAGCGAGAUGUGAAAGCCCCGGGCUCAACCUGGGAACUGCAUUUCGAACUGGCAAACUAGAGUGUGAUAGAGGGUGGUAGAAUUUCAGGUGUAGCGGUGAAAUGCGUAGAGAUCUGAAGGAAUACCGAUGGCGAAGGCAGCCACCUGGGUCAACACUGACGCUCAUGUACGAAGCGUGGGGAGCAAACGGGAU
rnacentral:rRNA from 1 species